rnacentral:rRNA from 1 species
AUACGUAGGGUGCGAGCGUUGUCCGGAAUUACUGGGCGUAAAGAGCUCGUAGGUGGUUUGUCGCGUCGUCUGUGAAAUUCCGGGGCUUAACUCCGGGCGUGCAGGCGAUACGGGCAUAACUUGAGUACUGUAGGGGAGACUGGAAUUCCUGGUGUAGCGGUGAAAUGCGCAGAUAUCAGGAGGAACACCGGUGGCGAAGGCGGGUCCCUGGGCAGUAACUGACGCUGAGGAGCGAAAGCAUGGGUAGCGAACAGGAUUAGAUACCCUGGUAGUCCAUGCUGUAAACGGUGGGCGCUAGGUGUAGGGGUCUUCCACGACUUCUGUGCCGUAGCUAACGCAUUAAGCGCCCCGCCUGGGGAGUACGGCCGCAAGGCUAAAACUCAAAGGAAUUGACGGGG